AGCGGCGGACGGGUUAGUAACGCGUGGGAACGUACCCUUUUCUACGGAAUAGCCUCGGGAAACUGAGAGUAAUACCGUAUAAGCCCUUCGGGGGAAAGAUUUAUCGGGAAAGGAUCGGCCCGCGUUAGAUUAGAUAGUUGGUGGGGUAAUGGCCUACCAAGUCUACGAUCUAUAGCUGGUUUUAGAGGAUGAUCAGCAACACUGGGACUGAGACACGGCCCAGACUCCUACGGGAGGCAGCAGUGGGGAAUCUUAGACAAUGGGCGCAAGCCUGAUCUAGCCAUGCCGCGUGUGUGAUGAAGGCCUUAGGGUCGUAAAGCACUUUCGCCAGGGAUGAUAAUGACAGUACCUGGUAAAGAAACCCCGGCUAACUCCGUGCCAGCAGCCGCGGUAAUACGGAGGGGGUUAGCGUUGUUCGGAAUUACUGGGCGUAAAGCGUACGUAGGCGGAUCAGAAAGUAGGGGGUGAAAUCCCGAGGCUCAACCUCGGAACUGCCUCCUAAACUCCUGGUCUUGAGUUCGAGAGAGGUGAGUGGAAUUCCAAGUGUAGAGGUGAAAUUCGUAGAUAUUUGGAGGAACACCAGUGGCGAAGGCGGCUCACUGGCUCGAUACUGACGCUGAGGUACGAAAGUGUGGGGAGCAAACAGGAUAAGAUACCCUGCUAGUCCACACCGA
rnacentral:rRNA from 1 species